AGAGAUACCUCUGGAGAAGCG
rnacentral:miRNA from 1 species